CAUGGGCGCUUCAGGGGACAGCUCACUGCGUCAGUGUGAUGUGGCUGCCCGACCCAGCACACUUCCAGGCAGUGAUCCAAGAGAAACAUCGAGGCCAAGGUCACUGUGAGCUGAGCAUGCAACCUCAGAUUUAAAGGAGACCGGCUAGGACUGCAAGUGUGCACCUGUUGAACAGCAGAAACAUCGGUGCUUUGUGAAUGGGAGGGCUGGCCGAGGUCCCCACACCACUGCCUAGCCCACCAUGCAUGGAAUAAACCAUAAAGGGGCUCAGGAAAGCUCUGCUUCCCGGUUUGCAUGUUCUGGUGUGGGGCCACACCUUCUGAGGAGGGUCCUGACAGAUGUGCAGCCCACAGCCCCACAGGAACCCACUUAGAUUUGUCUUCCUCACCAAGCCCCUUCUAAACGGUGAAGAAGCUCUGGGGACAAAGGAGUUAGGGUGAAGAUCCUUUCCUACCCGGAAGACCAAAUACAGCUUAGUGACAGCUGAGCAAACACAAGCUGCCUGGGGUUGGGGCUGUGAGCUCCUGGUUCCAGCAGUUCCCCUUUGGCAGGAACACAGGCGGAUCCUGGUCUGGCCAACAGGGAAAGCAAAAAGCCUUCGGGGAAAGCCUGGAGCCUCUGCUAACUCCACAGGGUUAGUCCACUUCUAAAUGCUCUCCAGUCCUUACUGCCUCUGAGAAGCCACCGGCUCCAGGCUAGCACGGAGUCAAAACUGACACUAACAACUGUUCUCCGGAGAAGCCACUGCCUCUGCUUAGAAGCUGUGCCCAUUACAGCUGCAACGAACUGUGGGCAUCCCUGGCACACAGUGGGACCUACUUGCUUGCAUCAGGGAACUCGGCUGACCCAGACCUUCAUCUUGAGGCAGCCCCCCCAGACCAAAGGCCAGGAGCAAAUAAAACUGAACGGUAGUAAU